rnacentral:misc_RNA from 1 species
GAUGAAGAACGCAGCGAAAUGCGAUAAGUAAUGUGAAUUGCAGAAUUCAGUGAAUCAUCGAAUCUUUGAACGCAUCUUGCGCUCCUUGGUAUUCUGAGGAGCAUGCCUGUUUGAGUGUCAUUAAAUUCUCAACUACACUGACUUUGAAUUGGUGUGGCUUGGAUUUGGGGGGAAAAUUGUUGUGGGCUUUUUGUAUAGUCUGCUCCCCUGAAAUUGAUUAGCGGUACCUUUGUGGAACUGUCUACAGGUGUGAUAAUUAUCUACAUCUUAGACAUCUGCUGGAAUGCUGCUUUCUAAACCUUACUUGUAUUACAAUCUUGACCUCAAAUCAGGUAGGACUACCCGCUGAACUUAAGCAUAUCAAUAAGCGGAGGA